rnacentral:rRNA from 1 species
CAGUCGCCGCGGUAAUACGUAGGGCGCAAGCGUUGUCCGGAAUUAUUGGGCGUAAAGAGCUCGUAGGCGGUCUGUCGCGUCUGGUGUGAAAUCCCGAGGCUCAACCUCGGGCUUGCAUCGGGUACGGGCAGACUAGAGUGCGGUAGGGGAGACUGGAAUUCCUGGUGUAGCGGUGGAAUGCGCAGAUAUCAGGAGGAACACCGAUGGCGAAGGCAGGUCUCUGGGCCGCAACUGACGCUGAGAAGCGAAAGCAUGGGGAGCGAACAGGAUUAGAUACCCCAGUAGUCCCUGUCUCUUAUAC